rnacentral:rRNA from 1 species
GACGAACGCUGGCGGCGUGCUUAACACAUGCAAGUCGAACGGAAAGGCCCUGCUUUUGUGGGGUGCUCGAGUGGCGAACGGGUGAGUAACACGUGAGUAACCUGCCCUUGACCUUGGGAUAACUUUAGGAAACUGUGGCUAAUACCGCAUAGGAGCUCCUGCUGCAUGGCGUGGGCUGGAAAGUUUCGGCGGUUGGGGAUGGACUUGCGGCUUAUCAGCUUUUUGGUGGGGUAGUGGCUUACCAAGGCUUUGACGGGUAGCCGGCCUGAGAGGGUGACCGGCCACAGUGGGACUGAGAUACGGCCCAGACUGCUACGGGAGGCAGCAGUGGGGAAUAGUGCGCAAUGGGCGGAAGCCUGAUGCAGCAACGCCGCGUGCGGGAUGACGGCCUUCGGGUUGUAAACCGCUUUCGCCUGUGACGAAGCGUGAGUGACGGUAAUGGGUAAAGAAGCACCGGCUAACUACGUG